rnacentral:rRNA from 2 species
ACUAGGACGUUGAUAGGUUGGAUGUGGAAGCAUAGUGAUAUGUGAAGCUGACCAAUACUAAUUGCUCGUGAGGCUUGACUAUACAACACCCA